rnacentral:rRNA from 1 species
GAACAAUUAAACGGCCGCGGUACCCUAACCGUGCAAAGGUAGCAAAAUCAUUUGUCUAUUAACUGUAGACCUGUAUGAAAGGCAAAAUGAGGGUUUAACUGUCUCUUAUAGUUAAUCUAUUAAACUGAUCUCCCAGUAAAAAAGCUGGGAUACUCUCAUAAGACCAGAAGACCCUGUGAAGCUUUAAUCAAACUAUUAAACCUCAUAAUAACUACUUUAGGUUGGGGCGACCUUGGAAACAAAAAGAACUUCCAAACACUACACACCACACCCACUAUAGGCCCACAAGCCAACUAACGACCCAGUAAUACUGAUAAAUGAACAAAGUUACUCCAGGGAUAACAGCGCUAUCUUCUUCAAGAGCCCAUAUCAAAAAGAAGGUUUACGACCUCGAUGUUGGAUCAGGACAUCCCAAUGGUGCAGCCGCUAUUAAAGGUUCGUUUGUU